GAUGAACGCUGGCGGCGUGCCUAAUACAUGCAAAUCGAGCGAACGGACGAGAAGCUUGCUUCUCUGAUGUUAGCGGCGGACGGGUGAGUAACACGUGGAUAACCUACCUAUAAGACUGGGAUAACUUCGGGAAACCGGAGCUAAUACCGGAUGAUAUUUUGAACCGCAUGGUUCAAAAGUGAAAGACGGUCUUGCUGUCACUUAUAGAUGGAUCCGCGCUGCAUUAGCUAGUUGGUAAGGUAACGGCUUACCAAGGCAACGAUGCAUAGCCGACCUGAGAGGGUGAUCGGCCACACUGGAACUGAGGCACGGUCCAGACUCCUACGGGAGGCAGCAGUAGGGAAUCUUCCGCAAUGGGCGAAAGCCUGACGGAGCAACGCCGCGUGAGUGAUGAAGGUCUUCGGAUCGUAAAACUCUGUUAUUAGGGAAGAACAUAUGUGUAAGUAACUGUGCACAUCUUGACGGUACCUAAUCAGAAAGCCACGGCUAACUACGUG
rnacentral:rRNA from 1 species